rnacentral:rRNA from 1 species
GAUGAACGCUGGCGGCGUGCUUAACACAUGCAAGUCGAACGAACCUUCGGGUUAGUGGCGGACGGGUGAGUAACGCGUGAGAAUCUGCCCUCAGGAGGGGGAUAACGGUUGGAAACGACCGCUAAUACCCCAUAUGCCGAUAGGUGAAAUGAAUUUCGCCUGAGGAUGAGCUCGCGUCUGAUUAGCUUGUUGGUGAGGUAAUGGCUCACCAAGGCUUCGAUCAGUAGCUGGUCUGAGAGGAUGAUCAGCCACACUGGGACUGAGACACGGCCCAGACUCCUACGGGAGGCAGCAGUGGGGAAUUUUCCGCAAUGGGCGAAAGCCUGACGGAGCAACGCCGCGUGAGGGACGAAGGCCUCUGGGCUGUAAACCUCUUUUCUCAAGGAAGAAGAUAUGACGGUACUUGAGGAAUAAGCCACGGCUAAUUCCGUGCCAGCAGCCGCGGUAAUACGGGAGUGGCAAGCGUUAUCCGGAAUUAUUGGGCGUAAAGCGUCCGCAGGGGGCCUUUCAAGUCUGCUGUUAAAGCGUGGAGCUUAACUCCAUUAUGGCAGUGGAAACUGAUCGGCUUGAGUGUGGUAGGGGCAGAGGGAAUUCCCGGUGUAGCGGUGAAAUGCGUAGAUAUCGGGAAGAACACCAGUGGCGAAGGCGCUCUGCUGGGCCAUUACUGACGCUCAUGGACGAAAGCCAGGGGAGCGAAAGGGAUUAGAUACCCCUGUAGUCCUGGCCGUAAACGAUGAACACUAGGUGUCGGGGGAAUCGACCCCUUCGGUGUCGUAGCUAACGCGUUAAGUGUUCCGCCUGGGGAGUACGCACGCUAGUGUGAAACUCAAAGGAAUUGACGGGGGCCCGCACAGGCGGUGGAGUAUGUGGUUUAAUUCGAUGCAACGCGAAGAACCUUACCAGGGUUUGACAUCCUGAGAACCUCUUAGAAAUUUGAGGGUGCCUUCGGGAAUUCAGUGACAGGUGGUGCAUGGCUGUCGUCAGCUCGUGUCGUGAGAUGUUGGGUUAAGUCCCGCAACGAGCGCAACCCACGUUUUUAGUUGCCAGCAUUUAGUUGGGCACUCUAGAAAGACCGCCGGUGAUAAACCGGAGGAAGGUGUGGAUGACGUCAAGUCAUCAUGCCCCUUACACCCUGGGCUACACACGUACUACAAUGCUACGGACAAAGGGCAGCAAACUCGCGAGAGCUAGCAAAUCCCAUAAACCGUGGCUCAGUUCAGAUUGUAGGCUGCAACUCGCCUACGUGAAGUAGGAAUCGCUAGUAAUCGCAGGUCAGCAUACUGCGGUGAA